ensembl:lncRNA
AAUCUUUGUUUAAAGUCAUUUAAGUCAUCGGCGAGUGUGGCAAUAUUCACCUGGGUGCGAUGUUUGCUUCCUUGCUUCCCUGUCCGGUAUAGAGUUCAGGCAACUCAUGUUAAGAUUAAGUGUAAACAGCUUUUCUAACCGUAUUUCAGAACUGAAGGAACAAUAACAACCAGAGAAGACUUUACCAGCAAAAGGACAUAGGCUACACUGAUGGUGGAAGCCAUUUGUAAGCCUCCAAAAACAGCGCUGACAGGUUAUAGUUUGCUAAGUACACAAAAGCAGCGGUAAAAUCAUACAGUGCCAGUGGAAGCAAAACCUAGGGAAAAAGCAAGCAAGUCUCUGUGCAAACACAAGUUUUAUCCGAGAUCCGAUAUGAUAAGACAUUAUGUGGUUGGGUAUGAUGCUGAUCGCGUGACAUUACUUUCAUGAAAAACACUGGUAACCUUCCAUUGAAUGCGCAUUAACAACAGAGUUUACAUGUUAAGUGUGCCCUGAGGCUCAGAGUCUACAAGGCUCACACACUGCAGGCAGAGGAGCGCCCUGCAAGAAACCAAGAACUCGCGCCUGCCAGUACCUGCGCAGUAGGGAUGCGCUUGUUGACUCAUUUAACCUGCAGUUACAACGGCAGUGCAGGCAGGUUUAAGGUCAUGAAAUGGCCCGCUAUUUGGAUUAAGGGCAGGCGGGUUUAAGGUCAUGAAAUGGCCCGCUAUUUGGAUUAAGGGCAGGCGGGUUUAAGGUCAUGAAAUGGCCUGCUAUUUGGAUUAAGGGCAGGCGGGUUUAAGGUCAUGAAAUGGCCCGCUAUUUGGAUUAAGGGCAGGCGGGUUUAAGGUCAUGAAAUGGCCUGCUAUUUGGAUUAAGGGCAGGUGGGUUGCAGGA